UACGUAGGAUGCAAGCGUUGUCCGGAAUUAUUGGGCGUAAAGAGCGCGCAGGCGGUGUAUCAAGUCAGAUGUGAAAAGAGGCCGGCUUAACCGGCAAGGGUCAUUUGAAAACUGAUAGACUAGAGUGCAGCAGAGGAUAGUGGAAUUCCCCGGUGUAGUGGUGAAAAUGCGUAGAUAUCGGGAGGAACACCAGUGGCGAAGGCGACUAUCUGGGCUGCAACUGACGCUGAGGCGCGAAGGCUAGGGUAGCAAAACAGG
rnacentral:rRNA from 1 species